GCGCUCGCUUCGACAGCACAUAGGCUAAAAUUGGAACGAUACAGAGAAAAUUAGCACGGUCCCUGGGCAAGAAUGACAUGCAAAUUCGUGAAGUGUUCCAUACGGUA
ensembl:snRNA U6 U6 spliceosomal RNA